CAGCCGCCGCGGGAAUACGAAGGGGGCUAGCGUUGUUCGGAUUUACUGGGCGUAAAGCGCACGUAGGCGGAUCCUUAAGUCAGAGGUGAAAGCCCGGGGCUCAACCCCGGAUGUGCCUUUGAGACUGCAGGGCUAGAACGUCGGAGAGGUGAGUGGAAUUCCGAGUGUAGAGGUGAAAUUCGUAGAUAUUCGGAAGAACACCAGUGGCGAAGGCGGCUCACUGGACGACUGUUGACGCUGAGGUGCGAAAGCGUGGGGAGCAAACAGGAUUAGAUACCCCCGUAGUCCCUGUCUCUUAUAC
rnacentral:rRNA from 1 species